CUAAAAGUGUCCAUUUCGUAGAUUGGCAAUGCUUUUAAAUGAUGCUUGUAACCUUUGUGAAGAAAUAAAGCUUCUGAAGAUGUGGUUUGUGGAAAUGAUAUGGUAUCUUGAGUUCGAGAUGUUCUUGGAGUGCGGAUUUUCCCUGACGCUUUUUUUUUUCUUUUGUAUUGUUGAUUUCUACCAUUUUCUCUUUCUUCACCAUUAGACAUGGUAGCAACAAAGCCCAAUGGAGAAGGAAUCUUCAAACUUACAGUGGGAGAGAUUUGCAACAGUAUGGAGCAAGAUGAGGGCCUUCAAUCCCUGUACCAGCUAAGAGUUGAAGCAUCAUCAAAUGCAUCAGGUCCUUCAUUCUGAAAUGUAAUGUUGCGGCCACAACUCCUAAUGAGGGGAAGUUAAGGGUGUUCCUGGUGCAUACAGUGAAUCAGCAGCUGCCAAGGCCUACCCAAGUUGUGAAGCAGUUCCCUGCGAACAAUUUGAAACUGCCUUCAAUGUGCAAACAGGUACUACCAUUAAUGUUGGAAUGACUUCUUGGCACUUGGUUGGGGUGGUAGCUUUGAAUUAUGCUUGGACGGGGAUUUGUUGCAUGGAACAAGUGGGCCUUGGGAGACUUUUGGGAACUUGUACUUCGCUCAUAAUCCAGAGUUCGAGCUGAAGAAUGUUGAGCUCUUGUACUUGAUUUAUUUGGAGACCAAAUCCAAAUUUUAUUUCAGGUAAUUCAUUGAAAACUCGGAAGUUUGCUGGCUAGUUUCGAAGCUUAGGAUGCAACUGCAUCAAUCAUUUUAUGCAGUUAAAUCCAAGCUGCCCAGAGUUUAUUUCUUGAUCAAAUUUUGGUUUACACGAUAGUUUAAAUUAAUCGUUAUAUUCACUAAGAAGGUGAGAAUUAGCUUAUAGUUUGGAAGAUUUACCUCAUAUGAUUUGUAAGA